rnacentral:misc_RNA from 1 species
AAAGGUCGUAAACAAGGUUUUCCGUAGGUGAACCUGCGGAAGGAUCAUUAAAGAAUACCUGGACUCCGGUCCUCGUCGAGAAAGGUCGUCCCGGGUGGCCUCCAGGUCCCCGGGGGGCUUCCCCCCCAUCUUGACCCUCCUGUUUACUCUACCUCUGUUGCUUUGGCACAGCUCCUGCCCGGGUGGUUCCCGGGCUUGGGCUCUGCCGGGGGGUCCCCUAACUCGUGGAUAGUCUAUGUUAGUCUGAGUACGAUAUAAUCGUUUACGACU